AGAGUUUGAUCCUGGCUCAGGAUGAACGCUGGCGGCGUGCCUAAUACAUGCAAGUCGAGCGAACCACUUCGGUGGUGAGCAGCGAACGGGUGAGUAACACGUAGGUGAUCUGCCCAUCAGACGGGGACAACGAUUGGAAACGAUCGCUAAUACCGGAUAGGACGAAAGUUUAAAGGUGCUCCUGGCACCGCUGAUGGAUGAGCCUGCGGCGCAUUAGCUAGUUGGUAGGGUAAAGGCCUACCAAGGCGACGAUGCGUAGCCGACCUGAGAGGGUGAACGGCCACACUGGGACUGAGACACGGCCCAGACUCCUACGGGAGGCAGCAGUAGGGAAUCUUCGGCAAUGGGCGAAAGCCUGACCGAGCAACGCCGCGUGAAUGAUGAAGGCCUUCGGGUUGUAAAAUUCUGUUAUAAGGGAAGAACGACUUUAGUAGGAAAUGGCUAGAGUGUGACGGUACCUUAUGAGAAAGCCACGGCUAACUACGUGCCAGCAGCCGCGGUAAUACGUAGGUGGCGAGCGUUAUCCGGAAUUAUUGGGCGUAAAGAGCGCGCAGGUGGUUGAUUAAGUCUGAUGUGAAAGCCCACGGCUUAACCGUGGAGGGUCAUUGGAAACUGGUCGACUUGAGUGCAGAAGAGGGAAGUGGAAUUCCAUGUGUAGCGGUGAAAUGCGUAGAGAUAUGGAGGAACACCAGUGGCGAAGGCGGCUUCCUGGUCUGUAACUGACACUGAGGCGCGAAAGCGUGGGGAGCAAACAGGAUUAGAUACCCUGGUAGUCCACGCCGUAAACGAUGAGUGCUAAGUGUUGGGGGUCGAACCUCAGUGCUGAAGUUAACGCAUUAAGCACUCCGCCUGGGGAGUACGGUCGCAAGACUGAAACUCAAAGGAAUUGACGG
rnacentral:rRNA from 1 species